rnacentral:lncRNA from 1 species
GACCACAACGAGAUCUCCCCAACAGCAGUGUAUAAAGAAAGGUGCAAUGUUUGUGCAGCAGUAUCAGUCUUCACUUAGAUUAAUACAUAGUAAUGGGAAAGGAAAGAAGCCAAUUUCAUAAUAACUAAAGAGAACAAAGAGGUUAAUCUCAGUAACAAAAUAAUAAUGACCAUAACUCCCGGUCAUAAUCAUGGAAUGUCUAGACUGGAACAAGGAAUCUGAGGAAAAAAUAACGGUUGCAAAGAUAAAAAAUAAAACAAAAACGUAAUCUGGUCAGCAAAACACCAUGUAGCUUUUCAAGGAGAUCACCAGCUUGGCUAGAAAAAGCAAAUGUUCACAAAAUGGUCUUCUGCAGGAUGUUCACCUCAGGCUUGCUUAAGGUUUAACUUCCCCAAGAAGAGCAGUGUCAGAAUGAACACCACCUCUGGCAUUUGCAGCCAUCUCAGAGCAGAAAAGGGUUAAUUAAGCAGCUACUGAAGUGCAGGCACACCAGCAUGCUCUCCAUAACACAGUAAGUUCAGGACAGGAAUCUGAACGCAGGUGGAGGGCAGUACGAGCAAGUCCCCGUGAGGGAAAGGACGCGGGCUUUCUACGGGUGAGGGUUGAGAAGAACGACGCCCAGCAGGUGGCGACGCCGGGCCGCGGCCGUGUAUGGCUGCCUCAGGGGUGGUGGCGCUGCCGGGAGGCUCCCGCCGCUCCCCUCCAGCUGCCGAGGGCUGUCUGCAGUCCGGGGCCGCGGGGUGAGAACCGAUCGCGGGCAAAACUCAGUCCGAGUCACGGAGUUUCUGAUGUUACAAGGAAGCAGAGUAAAAGUUCAGCGAGUGCGACGGGACGUAGAGAGGAAUGAAGGGGAGGCAGGCGGGUCCAAGAACAGAUUACGCGAGGAGCAGCUGUUCGCUUCCUUUUCAGGAGAAGCGGAAGGCAAGUGCUCUACAGAUGAAAACAAGUCAUGGUGCUCAUCUCAAGGAUUUCAUUUCACAAAUUGAGACAGCAUCAAAACACACUGAAGAUAAUUUAUGGACCACAUAACAAGAACAGCCCAGAGAAAAGGAAGCUGAUUUCAGAUGUUGUCCUACAAUAACAUCACAUCAUCACCAUCUUCAGAGCAUGAUGAGACUACUGAGUGUCACUUGCUGACUUUGUCCAUAAGAAAGCUGAAGAAAUAAUUUGCCUAUCCUGUCCCAUUCUUCCCUGUUUCGCUUAUAUAUGUUCUCUCUAUAGUAUUCUUUUAUAACCUUGAAAUUUGCAAUAAUCUUUCAGAAAGCCCUAACACAUACUGCAUGUUUUGUAUGAAAUUUGUCUAGCUUCUUCUAUUUACAAUAGUUGCUUUUUCUGUUGCCAAGAAAAUAGCAUCAUCAGCUACUUGGACCAUACAAAAUAUUACAGAAUAAAAUCAGCAACAAAAGUACA